rnacentral:rRNA from 1 species
CUGGCUCAGGACGAACGCUGGCGGCGUGCCUAAUACAUGCAAGUCGAACGCAAUCUUUAGCCACUGAGUGCUUGCACUCAGCAGUUAAAGUGCGAGUGGCGAACGGGUGAGUAACACGUGGGCAAUCUGCCCAAAAGUGGGGGAUAACACUUGGAAACAGGUGCUAAUACCGCAUCAACCGGCUGACCGCAUGGUCGGCCGGGCAAAGACGGCGUCAGCUGUCGCUUUUGGAUGAGCCCGCGGCGUAUUAACUAGUUGGUAAGGUAACGGCUUACCAAGGUGAUGAUACGUAGCCGAACUGAGAGGUUGAUCGGCCACAUUGGGACUGAGACACGGCCCAAACUCCUACGGGAGGCAGCAGUAGGGAAUCUUCCACAAUGGACGCAAGUCUGAUGGAGCAACGCCGCGUGUAUGAAGAAGGUCUUCGGAUCGUAAAAUACUGUUGUCAGAGAAGAACACGUGAUAGAGUAACUGCUAUGGCGCUGACGGUAUCUGACCAGCAAGUCACGGCUAACUACGUGCCAGCAGCCGCGGUAAUACGUAGGUGGCAAGCGUUGUCCGGAUUUAUUGGGCGUAAAGGGAACGCAGGCGGUCUUUUAAGUCUGAUGUGAAAGCCUUCGGCUUAACCGGAGAAGUGCAUUGGAAACUGGAAGACUUGAGUGCAGAAGAGGAGAGUGGAACUCCAUGUGUAGCGGUGAAAUGCGUAGAUAUAUGGAAGAACACCAGUGGCGAAAGCGGCUCUCUGGUCUGUAACUGACGCUGAGU